AAUGGGCGCAAGCCUGAUCCAGCCAUACCGCGUGUGUGAAGAAGGCCUUCGGGUUGUAAAGCACUUUAAGCAGGGAGAAAAAGUUAUAAGUUAAUACCUUAUAACCGUGAUGUUACCUGCAGAAUAAGCACCGGCUAAUUCCGUGCCAGCAGCCGCGGUAAUACGGAAGGUGCAAGCGUUAAUCGGAAUUACUGGGCGUAAAGCGCGCGUAGGUGGUUUGUUAAGUUGGAUGUGAAAGCCCUGGGCUCAACCUAGGAACUGCAUCCAAAACUAACUCACUAGAGUACGAUAGAGGGAGGUAGAAUUCAUAGUGUAGCGGUGGAAUGCGUAGAUAUUAUGAAGAAUACCAGUGGCGAAGGCGGCCUCCUGGAUCUGUACUGACACUGAGGUGCGAAAGCGUGGGUAGCGAACAGGAUU
rnacentral:rRNA from 1 species